rnacentral:rRNA from 1 species
AAUGAACGUUGGCGGCAUGGAUUAGGCAUGCAAGUCGGGGGAAUCCCAGCAAUGGGGGAACCGGCGUAAGGGGCAGUAAGGCAUGGGUACCUACCUUGGGGUUCGGGAUAGCCAUCAGAGAUGGUGGGUAAUACCGGAUGACGUCGUGAGACCAAGGAUUUAUCGCCCUUAGAGGGGCCCAUGUGAUAUUAGCUAGUUGGUGGGGUAACGGCCCACCAAGGCGAAGAUGUCUAGCGGGUGUGAGAGCACGACCCGCGCCACUCGCACUGAGACACUGGCGAGACACCUACGGGUGGCUGCAGUCGAGGAUCUUCGGCAAUGAGCGCAAGCUUGACCGAGCGAUGCCGCGUGAGCGAUGAAGGCCUUCGGGUUGUAAAGCUCUUUAGUGGGGGAGUAAAGCCGCAAGGUGUGAUCUAUCCCAAAAAUAAGCACGGGCUAAGUUCGUGCCAGCCGCCGCCGUAA